rnacentral:rRNA from 1 species
GACGAACGCUGGCGGCGUGCUUAACACAUGCAAGUCGAACGGUAAGGCCCUUCGGGGUACACGAGUGGCGAACGGGUGAGUAACACGUGGGUGAUCUGCCCUGCACUUCGGGAUAAGCCUGGGAAACUGGGUCUAAUACCGGAUAGGACCCUGGGAUGCAUGUCCUGGGGUGGAAAGCUUUUGCGGUGUGGGAUGGGCCCGCGGCCUAUCAGCUUGUUGGUGGGGGGAUGGCCUACCAAGGCGACGACGGGUAGCCGGCCUGAGAGGGUGACCGGCCACACUGGGACUGAGAUACGGCCCAGACUCCUACGGGAGGCAGCAGUGGGGAAUAUUGCACAAUGGGCGCAAGCCUGAUGCAGCGACGCCGCGUGAGGGAUGACGGCCUUCGGGUUGUAAACCUCUUUCAGCACCGACGAAGCGCAAGUGACGGUAGGUGCAGAAGAAGGACCGGCCAACUACGUGCCAGCAGCCGCGUAA